UUCUGAACUUUUACAGCCUCUGUUACAACAAUUUGGAGUGUGUUACAUUUAGUUCACAUAAAACAAAUAGAAUUAAGUUCAUCAAGUUUUUAUCGCAUAUUCAUUAUUCAUAUCUUCAUAUUUCCCAGGAACUUGUUUUAACCACCCCAGUAUAAUUUAUUCUGUUCAGACUUAAGGCUGCAUUUAUUUCCCGGUGUAUUGGCUUUUCCUUCACUGUUGCGUAGCAACGCUGAUGUCAUCGCUGUUUUUCAGGUGCAUGGUUCAAAUUCAGCCAAUGGGAUUCAUCAUCAGGAGUCCAGAAACCCUCAAGAUGAACAACACUGAUCUGAGCAAAGCAGCACGACGUAACAA